rnacentral:lncRNA from 1 species
UAGGAAUUUUGUAGAUAUUAACAUAAAAUCAGACUUCCUCUUCUCCAUUCCUUCUUCUUCUUAAAAAAUUCAAAGAUGAGAACCAUUUUUUAUAAUCAGAUUUUUCCCAUUCAGUUGUAGCGUGAUUGAAAUUUUGGACACGAUUGAGUGUUGUUGCUGAGGUAUUGUUCUAUAUUUUAUUAUUUUUUUAAUUUGUGUAUUGAGAGAAAAAAGUUGAAGAAUAGAUUUGAUUUCAGUUUGUUGAAGCUUUUAGUCUUUUUUUUGAAUUAC